CAGUGAAUACAUAGCUGUAAGAGGCAAACCGGGAGAACUGAAACAUCUAAGUACCCCGAGGAAAAGAAAUCAACCGAGAUUCCGAAAGUAGCGGCGAGCGAAAUCGGAUUAGCCCUUAAGCUUCAGUGUAAUUAGUGGAACCUUCUGGAAAGUUGGACGACACAGGGUGACAGUCCCGUACACGAAAAUUUAUCUGAAGUGAAAUCGAGUAGGUCGGAGCACGUGAAACUUUGACUGAAUAUGGGGGGACCAUCCUCCAAGGCUAAAUACUCCCAACUGACCGAUAGUGAACCAGUACCGUGAGGGAAAGGCGAAAAGAACCCCUGUGAGGGGAGUGAAAUAGAACCUGAAACCGUGUACGUACAAGCAGUAGGAGCCCUUCGAGGGUGACUGCGUACCUUUUGUAUAAUGGGUCAGCGACUUAUAUUCUGUAGCGAGGUUAACCAUUUAGGGGAGCCGUAGCGAAAGCGAGUCUUAACUGGGCGCUUAAGUUGCAGGGUAUAGACCCGAAACCCGGUGAUCUAGCCAUGGGCAGGUUGAAGGUCAGGUAACACUGACUGGAGGACCGAACCCACUAACGUUGAAAAGUUAGGGGAUGACCUGUGGCUAGGAGUGAAAGGCUAAUCAAACCGGGAGAUAGCUGGUUCUCCCCGAAAUCUAUUUAGGUAGAGCCUCGGACGAAUACUUACGGGGGUAGAGCACUGUUAAGGCUAGGGGGUCAUCCCGACUUACCAACCCUUUGCAAACUCCGAAUACCGUAAAGUACUAUCCGGGAGACACACGGUGGGUGCUAACGUCCAUCGUGGAGAGGGAAACAACCCAGACCGUCAGCUAAGGUCCCAAAGUGUAUGUUAAGUGGGAAACGAUGUGGGAAGGCUAAAACAGCUAGGAGGUUGGCUUAGAAGCAGCCAUCCUUUAAAGAAAGCGUAAUAGCUCACUAGUCGAGUCGGCCUGCGCGGAAGAUGUAACGGGGCUAAACAUACCACCGAAGCUACGGCUGC
rnacentral:rRNA from 1 species